rnacentral:rRNA from 1 species
UACGAAGGGGGCUAGCGUUGCUCGGAAUGACUGGGCGUAAAGGGCGCGUAGGCGGUUCGUACAGUCAGACGUGAAAUUCCCGGGCUCAACCUGGGGACUGCGUUUGAUACGUGCGGGCUUGAGUUCGGAAGAGGGUCGUGGAAUUCCCAGUGUAGUGGUGAAAUGCGUAGAUAUCGGGAGGAACACCAGUGGCGAAGGCGGCAUCCUGGCCCUGUCCUGACGCUCAGGGGCGAAAGCGUGGGGAGCAAACCGG